UCGCCCUGUUUUUAAAAAACAUGUCUUUUUGUUGAUUAAUAUUAAGUCCAACCUGCUCAAUGAUUAGAUUAAAUGGCCGCAGUAUAUUGACUGUGCAAAGGUAGCAUAAUAAAUUGUCUUUUAAUUGGAGGCUAGAAUGAAAGGUUAGAUGAAGGAAUAACUUUCUUUGUAAUUUUUAUUGAAUUUAAUAUUUUAGUUAAAAAGCUGAAAUGAAUAAAGGUGACGAGAAGACCCUAUAGAAUUUUAUUAUUAUCAGUAAAUCUUUUGAUUUUAGUUAUUUAUUCAUUAAUUAUGGAUAUUAAUUUGGUUGGGGUGACAGGGAGAUUAUAUUAACUCUCUUAAUAUUUUUUUAUUAAUUAAUAACUUAAAAAUCCUUUAAUAUGGAAAUUAGUUUAAAUUACCUUAGGGAUAACAGCGUAAUUUUCUUGAAGAGUUCUUAUCGAUAAGGAAGUUUGCGACCUCGAUGUUGGAUUAAAAUAAGUAUUAUGUGCAGAAGCUUAUAUAACUAGGUCUGUUCGACCUUUAAAUUUUUACAUGAUCUAAUUUCCACC
rnacentral:rRNA from 1 species